ensembl:lncRNA
UUUAGCGGUGAACGGUUUAGCGGGAACGGUUUAGCACGGUUUAGCGGUGAACGGUUUAGCGGGGAACGGUUUAGCGGGGAACGGUUUAGCGGUGAACGGUUUAGCGGGAACGGUUUAGCACGGUUUAGCGGUGAACGGUUUAGCGGGAACGGUUUAGCACGGUUUAGCGGUGAACGGUUUAGCGGGGAACGGUUUAGCGGUGAACGGUUUAGCGGUGAACGGUUUAGCGGGAACGGUUUAGCACGGUUUAGCGGUGAACGGUUUAGCGGUGAACGGUUUAGCGGGGAACGGUUUAGCACGGUUUAGCGGUGAACGGUUUAGCGGGAACGGUUUAGCACGGUUUAGCGGGGAAUGGUUUAGCCGUGAACAGUUUAGCGGGGAAUGGUUUAGCCGUGAACAGUUUAGCGGGGAAUGGUUUAGCCGUGAACAGUUUAGCCGUGAACAGUUUAGCCGUGAACGGUUUAGCGGGGAAUGGUUUAGCCGUGAACAGUUUAGCCGUGAACAGUUUAGCGGGAAUGGUUUAGCCGUGAACGGAUUAGCGGGGAAUGGUUUAGCCGUGAACAGUUUAGCCGUGAACGGUUUAGCGGGGAAUGGUUUAGCCGUGAACGGAUUAGCGGGGAAUGGUUUAGCCGUGAACGUUUAGCGGGGAAUGGUUUAGCCGUGAACGGAUUAGCGGGGAAUGGUUUAGCCGUGAACAGUUUAGCCGUGAACGGUUUAGCGGGGAAUGGUUUAGCCGUGAACGGAUUAGCGGGGAAUGGUUUAGCCGUGAACGGUUUAGCGGGGAAUGGUUUAGCCGUGAACGGAUUAGCGGGGAAUGGUUUAGCCGUGAACAGUUUAGCCGUGAACUGUUUACUUACUGUACCUUCUGUGCUGCUCACCUACAGUAUACUCUAGCAGACACAACAGUAUAACAAAUACCAAAAAGGACAAGUGUUAUUAUAAUACAUAGGAACAAUGAUAAUUGUUCACUCCUAUAUAGUCUUCAUGCUCUCACAUUGCUAUAGAAACACAUUCAUAUCCCCAGUCUCAGAUGUGCUGUGAGUAGUUGUGAUAAAGACAGUUUGAAGCUGGCUGUCAUCCCAAACAUCACAUCAAUGGACAGGGAGGGAGGGCUAUUCAGAACAGACAUACCAUUAUGACUACUUGUGAUAUUUACAGCAAAGAGGGAACCACCAACAAACGACAAAAUCAUGCAUAUGUAAAAGGAACACGCCAAGGGACAUGCAACUUAUGUAUUUUUUUCUAAAACAACAUCCGGGGAAGAGUUUUGUCAAAUCAACUCUUCACUUCAGACCAUUUGCUUUCUUUUUUAAAUAGAGGAGUCUUUGUAUUAACUUCCUGUGUAAAACAGCACUGUCUCCUGUCUAAGUAGGGUUAUGAUGCUUCACGUCAUCAGAUUGAUUUAUAACAAACAAAGUGGGAGAGGGACACCUUGAAACGAGAGUAAAAACCAAAAAUAACACUACCUCCUUUUCAAAAUGGUUCACACAAUAAAAGCAAAUGGGAGACUGGAGACCCUAAAUAUUUCAGUUCUUUUCCCAUUCUUCCUCAAUAAUAAUAGUGAAAUAUACCAAAACACAGCUUACUGUUACUACACAUUUUGUGGGUCUGAAAAAGCUUGUCUGGCUACCUGGACUCCAAAUUCACGAGCGUGAGCGUAAAAACAAAGAGACGUUACAACAACGUUGCAUCCCGUUAAAGAUGACUACCUCUCCUAAAACCACAGAGAACCGGUGCGUUCUCCUAAGAGUGAAGAGUGAAGUGGUUUAAAAGGUCUACUCUCAGCUGGGUAUUAUUGGCUGUCUCUGUGCUUUCAUUAGCAUAUGGCUCCGUGAACAGCCUCUUAAUUGGGUGCUCUAAUUGUAUGCACGCAUAUUGAUGAGCAGGCUUUGCCAGCAGCCAAUGAUAGUCCGGUCGUUAGUGGCGAUUCAAUGGGGCAGGAAGCUGAUUGUCAGGAGGGAGGAGGGGCAGAAUAUAUCAGUGCCCGGCACCCGCCAGUGGGCCACACACACACUAGUGCCCGCCACACGCCAAUGGGCCACACACACACUAGUGCCCGCCACACGCCAGCGGCCCGCACUUCACAUUAAUGCAGAAAACGGCUGUAAGAUGGCAGCGAUAAAAGACACACUCUCUUACAGUCUGUAGUCAGUGUUCAGUCAAAAGGGCCCUGAGUACCAGUCAGAGCUGGGAAUAUAAUCCCUGUGACAUGGAGCUGUCCCCUCAUGGUGAAUAGUGGCCGCUGUCACUAGGAGCCGGGCCCCUGGUGGCCCCUGUGGUUCAGACAGCUGAGGAGAGGCUCUGAGUAACUAAAGAUACUAUCCAAAGACAAACACAGAGCUUACUGUACACUGUACACCCUCAAUCGCCACUCGCUGGGAGAAGGGCAAUAAUAACACACGCUUACAAAGGAAUUUAUCAUUACUACUAUUAUUAUUGUUAUGAUCCAAACUCUCAUGAAUGAGGAACUGCUGCAUUCAGUAAAUAUAAAGAUCUUUGAAUUAUUGUGCUUUAAGGUACACCUGUAAACCACGCUGUUUUAUAAAGAUGUAGAUUGACAUUCGUUGAUGGUGUUGACAGAUCGCCAUAGACGGUUCUGUUCCUUCUCCGGCUUUGCUGUUAUGAUGUAUUAUUGUAUAUUAACGCUUGGCUUAGCUCUCGAGGGCAUUCUUUACCAUUAUGUCUUUUUGAUUUUCUGUUGUGUUCAUUUUCUGCACCUGUUUAGCUAUUGUAAAGCUUCCAGCUCUGAUUCCUAUACUGUAUUGCUAAUGCUGAAGUGUAUGUAUUUUAUCAUAUUAAGUGCUGCAGGUAUCUGGGUUUAAUAGUUUUUGUUUUGUCCUUUUUUUCAGUUUUCUUCAUAAAAACGUCUGGGACGAUGAUUUUUUAAGUGUAUUAUCUCUAAAAAAUUAAAUAACUAAAGUUAGAUAAGUGGUUUAGGUAACACCUGUUUGUAUAUUUAUCUUAGCUAGGUCUAUUUUGAUACUUUUGUCUCUGUACUGCAUUUAUGCAUUUUUAAGGAAAGAAAAAGAAAAACUUACUGAAAACAAUGUAAAAAGUUGACUUCAUUAUGUAUUGAUGAUACCUCAGAAGGACUUUUCUCUAAGACAGGACCAAAACCUCAGAAAAAAAAAGAGAAAUAUUAUUGAAGAAAAUAUGUUGCUUUUGAAGAUGAAGCAGUGUUGAGGUGAUGUUUUUGGUCCUUAAGGUGCCAAUAUGUGUCCUCUGAUCCCUGACCCCAGUCAUUCCUGAUGACCUUUAAGCCUCACAGCUGUCAAUCACUCCACAGGGCAACUGGGCGUGGCCCUGAGUCACACACCUGGUGAUGUUUGUCCAAUCGGAAUCUUUGUUUUCUUGCAUUCCCAAACACAACGACACAGACACAAACACACACACAUUCUAAUGGCUUUCAGAAAUCCAGUUCAUCUUCAGUCAUGCAUCGAAGGUUUUGUGAGUGGCCGUGGCACAUCAGCUAACAGACUACCACAACCGUAACCAAACCAACCCUAGGCAAUGCUCUAGAGCAACACCAAGGUGAAUGUCCUGUAUUAGCAACGUAAUAUACCACAAGCUACUUCCCAUACCACAAACCAUUCUACGCUAUCACUAUCAUCUCUCAGACAAGCACUCUUCCUAUUGGAUCAUUAGUGACUCCGGGGACCUACAUGGGCCCGCCCCCGCUCUAUGAUUGGACAGCUCUGAGGUGUCAUGUCGAGGAGAAGAGGUCUUAAAGGGGUGUUGCCCGAUGGUAUUAUUAACUUCACGGCCCAGAAAAAUGGAACUACCACUUCAGCUGUCCUCUGGUUGUAUCUUAGGAAUGUGUGUACAUUUUCAGCAGUGACUCUCUGUAAUGUUACUUAGUUUCAGUUUACCUGUUUACCUCUUAUCUUUUUAUUUCAUUCUGUUUGUUUACUUUGUAAGUGUGACCCAGGCGAAGGGGUACAGUAGGAGCAGGCGGUGGUUUUUCAGGCGGUCUAAAAGAGGUUUUUAAAAAGGCAACUGUCACCGAGACCUUUGCCCUUUCCCCUUUGCCCUUUCCCCCUUCCCUGGGUGGCCAUGUAAUGCCAGUCACUGCCCUUUUCCUCAUGCUGUAUAAAACACACACAUAUAUCUGUGUAUUUGUAACCUGAAUCUUCUUGUGUCUGUCCAUGCAGACAAUAAAACAGCUGUACAGUAGGUCUAGUUGCAUGUAAUCUGUACUAAUUAUUGACAAUGGCAUUAUAAAAUGCAAUAAAAUACUUAUUACACUGUC